CCUACGGGAGGCUGCAGUGAGGAAUAUUGGUCACUGGCCGGAAGGCUGAACCAGCCAAGCCGCGUGAGGGACGAAGGUGCCAUGCAUUGUAAACUUCUUUUGUCAAGGGACAAAAUCCGGCUCGUGACCCGCACCGAGGGUACCUGCAGAAAAAGCAUCGGCUAACUCCGUGCCAGCAGCCGCGGUAAUACGGAGGAUGCGAGCGUUAUCCGGAUUUAUUGGGUUUAAAGGGUGCGUAGGCGGCCUUUUAAGUCAGCGGUAAAAGGCCGGGGCUCAACCCCGACGAGCCGUUGAAACGGGCUGGCUUGAGUGGGCGGGAGGUAUGCGGAAUGCGCGGUGGAGCGGUGAAAUGCAUAGAUAGCACGAAGAACUCCGAUUGCGAAGGCAGCAUACCGGCGCCGAACUGACGCUGAGGCACGAAAGCGUGGGUAUCGAACAGGAUUAGAUACCCGAGUAGUC
rnacentral:rRNA from 1 species